GUACCUUCAAGCUUUGCUUGGUGUUGGGUGUUUUGUCUUUUCAUCAAGACUCGCCUUAAAGUCAUUGGCAGCCAGUGUUUUGGUAGUAAGCGCAGCACAUUUUGCGUCUUGUUCCCUCGACAGCGGCAUCCAUAAAGCCAUUUUCUCAC
rnacentral:misc_RNA from 2 species